ACGCUCGACACCUACGGGGGGCAGCAGUGGGGGAAUAUUGCACAAUGGGGGAAACCCUGAUGCAGCAACGCCGCGUGAAGGAAGACGGUUUUCGGAUUGUAAACUUCUGUUCUUAGUGAAGAUAGUGACGGUAGCUAAGGAGCAAGCCACGGCUAACUACGUGUCAGCAGCCGCGGUAAUCUGAGCGGGCUGGCAAGGC
rnacentral:rRNA from 1 species